GUCUACAGCCAUACCACCAGGAAAGCACCAGAUCUCAGAAGAUAAGCAGGGUUGGGCUUAGUUAGAGCAGCUGGAUG
rnacentral:rRNA from 1 species